GUCGAGCGAUUUACUUCGGUAAAGAGCGGCGGACGGGUGAGUAACGCGUGGGUAACCUGCCCUAUACACACGGAUAACAUACCGAAAGGUAUGCUAAUACGAGAUGACAUAAGAGAUUCGCAUGGAUUUCUUAUCAAAGCUUUUGCGGUAUAGGAUGGACCCGCGUCUGAUUAGCUAGUUGGUAAGGUAACGGCUUACCAAGGCGACGAUCAGUAGCCGACCUGAGAGGGUGAUCGGCCACAUUGGAACUGAGACACGGUCCAAACUCCUACGGGAGGCAGCAGUGGGGAAUAUUGCACAAUGGGCGAAAGCCUGAUGCAGCAACGCCGCGUGAGCGAUGAAGGCCUUCGGGUCGUAAAGCUCUGUCCUCAAGGAAGAUAAUGACGGUACUUGAGGAGGAAGUCCCGGCUAACUACGUGCCAGCAGCCGCGGUAAUACGUAGGGGGCUAGCGUUAUCCGGAAUUACUGGGCGUAAAGGGUGCGUAGGUGGUUUCUUAAGUCAGAGGUGAAAGGCUACGGCUCAACCGUAGUAAGCCUUUGAAACUGAGAAACUUGAGUGCAGGAGAGGAGAGUAGAAUUCCUAGUGUAGCGGUGAAAUGCGUAGAUAUUAGGAGGAAUACCAGUUGCGAAGGCGGCUCUCUGGACUGUAACUGACACUGAGGCACGAAAGCGUGGGGAGCAAACAGGAUUAGAUACCCUGGUAGUCCACGCCGUAAACGAUGAGUACUAGCUGUCGGAGGUUACCCCCUUCGGUGGCGCAGCUAACGCAUUAAGUACUCCGCCUGGGAAGUACGCUCGCAA
rnacentral:rRNA from 1 species